UCAUCCACACAAACAUCUUCUUUAGGC
rnacentral:sRNA from 1 species